rnacentral:rRNA from 1 species
UACGUAGGGUGCGAGCGUUGUCCGGAAUUAUUGGGCGUAAAGAGCUUGUAGGCGGUUUGUCGCGUCUGCCGUGAAAAUUCGAGGCUCAACCUCGAACUUGCGGUGGGUACGGGCAGACUAGAGUGUGGUAGGGGAGACUGGAAUUCCUGGUGUAGCGGUGGAAUGCGUAGAGAUCCGGAAGAACACCGGUGGCGAAGGCGGCCUGCUGGGCAGUUUUGCUGACACUGAGGCGCGACAGCGUGGGGAGCAAACAGG